rnacentral:tRNA from 1 species
GGGCCUAUAGCUCAGCUGGCAGAGCCCCCGGCUCAUAACCGGUCGGUCCCUGGUUCGAAUCCAGGUGGGCCCACCA